rnacentral:rRNA from 1 species
UUGCUACUUUGCCGGCGAGCGGCGGACGGGUGAGUAAUGUCUGGGAAACUGCCUGAUGGAGGGGGAUAACUACUGGAAACGGUAGCUAAUACCGCAUAACGUCGCAAGACCAAAGAGGGGGACCUUCGGGCCUCUUGCCAUCAUAUGUGCCCAGAUGGGAUUAGCUAGUAUGUGGGGUAACGGCUCACCUACGCGACGAUCCCUAGCUGGUCUGAGAGGAUGACCAGCCACACUGGAACUGAGACACGGUCCAGACUCCUACGGGAGGCAGCAGUGGGGAAUAUUGCACAAUGGGCGCAAGCCUGAUGCAGCCAUGCCGCGUGUAUGAAGAAGGCCUUCGGGUUGUAAAGUACUUUCAGCGGGGAGGAAGGCGUUGAGGUUAAUAACCUCAUCGAUUGACGUUACCCGCAGAAGAAACACCGGCUAACUCCGUGCCAGCAGCCGCGGUAAUACAGAGGGUGCAAGCGUUAAUCGGAAUUACUGGGCGUAAAGCGCACGCAGGCUGUCUGUCAAGUCAGAUGUGAAAUCCCCGGGCUCAACCGGGGAACUGCAUUCGAAACUGGCAAGCUAAAGUCUUGUAAAGGGGGGUAAAA